rnacentral:tRNA from 3 species
UUUAAGCCCAGAGAAGAGCA